rfam:Micromonospora krabiensis strain DSM 45344 genome assembly, chromosome: I
CGGUGACGAUCUCCGGGCAGAUGAGGUGCACGUGGGUGUCGACGGCGCCGGCCGUGAGGAUCCGACCGUUGCCGGCGAUGACCUCGGUGGCCGGGCCGAUGACCAGCUCGGGGUGGACGCCGGGCAUGGUGUCCGGGUUGCCGGCCCGGCCGAGGGCGACGAUCCGCCCGUCGCGCAGGCCCACGUCGGCCUUGACCACGCCCCAGUGGUCGAGCACCACCGCGCCGGUGAUGACGGUGUCGAGGGCGCCCUCGGCGCGGGUCGCCCGGGACUGGCCCAUCGACUCG